rnacentral:pre_miRNA from 1 species
UUAAUACUCUCUCCGUCCCAUAUUAAGUGACUUUCUAUUACAUGUAUCUAGACAUUUUUUUGGCAUAGAUACAUCCAUAUUUGGGCAAAUUGAAGUCACUUAAUAUGGGAUGGAGUGAGAUAUUAC